rnacentral:rRNA from 1 species
AGUCGUUCUGCCCAUUGUAUUUUAAAGGCUGCGGUAUUUUAACUGUACAAAGGUAGCAAAAUAAAUAGUUUUUUAAUUGAAAACUUGAAUGAAAGAGUUGAUAAAAUAUAAAUUGUCUCAAAUAUAUAAAUUAGAUUAAAAGUUAAAAUUCUUUUAUAUAUUUAAAAGACGAUAAGACCCUAAGAAUUUUAUAAUUUAAUUAAUUUUAAAAAUUUAAAUUUAAUUAAAUUAUUUUAUUGGGAGGAUAAUUAAAUAAACUUUAAUUUAAAUAAAUAUUUUUUAUAAAUUUAAUGAUUAAUUUAUUGAUUAUAAGAGUAAAUUACCUUAGGGAUAACAGCGUAAUAAUUUUGGAGAGUUCAUAUUGAUAAAGUUGUUUGCGACCUCGAUGUUGAAUUAAAAUAAAAAUUAAAUGAAGAAAUUUAAAUUUUUAGUCUGUUCGACUAUUAAAAUUUUAC